AUUUUGGGUUAUAAAAUCCCAAAACCUCUUCCCCUCCCAGGUUCCCAUUGGCCAAUUGGCACUUUGGGAUUUUGGGGGGUUUUGGGGGGAUUUUGGGUUAUAAAACCCCAAAACCUCCUCCCCUCCUGAGUUCCCAUUGGCCAGCUGGGCUUUGGGGGGGAUUUGGGGUUUUUUUGGGGGUGACAUCUCCCGUCCCAUCCCCUCCCAUGUUCCCAUUGGCCAAUAGCGAUUUUGGGAUUUUGGGGGGAUUUUGGGUUUUUUUGGGGGGUGACACCUCCUGUCCCAUCCCUUCCCAGGUUCCCAUUGGCCAGAGGGGUUUUGGGGGGAUUUGAGGUUUUUUGGGGUAUUUUUGGGGGUGGCAUCUCCUGUCCCGUCCCCUCCCAGGUUCCCAUUGGCCAGCUGGAUUUUGGGAUUUUGGGGGGAUUUUGGGUUAUAAAACCCCAAAACCUCCUCCUCUCCUGGGUUCCCAUUGGCCAAUAGCGAUUUUGGGAUUUUGGGGGGAUUUUGGGUUAUAAACCCCAAACUUCCUCCCUUCCCAGGUUCCCAUUGGUCAGUAGCGAUUUUGGGAUUUUGGGGGGGAU